UGGAAAAUCAAUAUUAUUUGAUGUUGAGAGACUUCUAACUACCUCUUGCAAUUUUCUGCCUUGUUUGUGAGGACAAUGUCAUUCCUUAUUUAUGAAUUGAUUUUCAUUUUAGCUUCUUGAGAUACAGCGUGCCUGGUUAAUGCAUGUCUCCAUCUUUCAAUUAAGCUGGAACUUUUUGCGUCGCACCAACCAAUAUAAUGACAUAAAGAAAUGCGCUAAAUGAAUAUAGCACUUAAUUGUCCUCACUUCUAAGUGGUGCUUUAUUCAGGUCGUUAAGCCAUUUGUGCAGCUUCUCUUCCUGUUACUUAUCCAGUACUUACUCUCCUGCUUGAACCCAGUGAUGUGCUUGUCUUUCUGCACUGGCAGCCGAAAGCUCACCAGUGUGUGUUCUCCUCCUGCCAAAUUGUUUCUUCUCAGUGAAAACACUCCCGACAUUCCAGCCGCUGGGAAAAAAGUAGGUGAAGUGGCCUGGCAGGCGUGCUGCGCUUCAAUCAACCAAUUAGAUAAUCAAGGGCUUUCACAUUGUGCAGUCUGACAAUCAACUCUGCCAAUUAAAGACCCGUCUGUGCUGCAUGCAGCCCUUCAGCGCAGCCCAUUACUGAGCUCUUGCGUUGGAGUGGGCCCGGCUGAUCAAGAAAAAUUAUGCUCCUAAUAACAGCGAAACGAAAGAAAUUUGGACAAAACGACUCUCUGCAUCACAGAUUUUGUUUACUAGUGGGUAAUUAAUUCUCCACAUAUGUUGGGAACAUCUGUCGCGAUGACCUGCCAUCGAAUCAGCGAAACAACUGCUGUGCUGCUCCUCCUCAGAAUGUUCUGAGCAGCCAUGAGAUGUCAGCGUGACAGACAGCAUCCUGAAACCACCAGCGCCUGUACAUGGCCAGUGGGCCGACGCAUAUGGCCAUCCCUGCACCGUGGGCCAGCCUCCCUGAGGAACUUUGGAAGAGGGUGAGAUUAUCGAGGAAGGUCACGAUAAAUUCGGAUGCUGUUGUGCCGGGAGGGAGGAGGAUUAAGUCUGGGCUGGAAAAGAGCACUGAGGUAGCAGUGGUCAAGCUCCUUCUUUCAUACAGGCUGUGCCUUGACGCCCAUAUGUUACCUGUCAGGCCCGGCCCAGUAAAUGAUGGCUAUGAUGAGAGGGAGAUGUGGACAGUGGUUGUGUUUGUAAAUGGAGUGUUGUUUGGAUGGGGAGGCUGGGGAGUUUGGAGCUGGUUGGCAGAUGUCAAACAGCAGAGGGAAAGAGAGAUAAGCUCACAAGAUGACUUGACGACUUUCUCAGUGGCAGGCCAGUAGAUGGGCACUGUGGAAGUGGACUUUCACCCCUUCGCUGUGUGACACCUGACAGCGGAGUCCUAUCUCAUCUCGCUGCCUGGACACAUCACUUACGUUCAUGCACAAAAUAAAGUGGGGAAAUAGGAAUAUGUUAAUCAGCAGUCAAGGGUCAAAUAGAUAAAGACACUGCCCAUUCCUCAGGGCUCACAGUAUGAAUUUAUGGACUGCUGGUCAAACCUUUAGGUCAUUGUAUAGAAAAUAUAAUGUAUAUAAAAUAUAUAAUUAUUAUAUUUUAUAUAAAAAUUAUACAUAAUAUAUUUGAAUGCAU
ensembl:lncRNA